rnacentral:rRNA from 1 species
CCUACGGGUGGCUGCAGUAGGGAAUCUUGCGCAAUGGGCGAAAGCCUGACGCAGCGACGCCGCGUGAGGGAAGAAGGCCUUCGGGUCGUAAACCUCUGUCCUUGGGGACGAUGAUGACGGUACCCAAGGAGGAAGCCCCGGCUAACUACGUGCCAGCAGCCGCGGUAAUACGUAGGGGGCGAGCGUUGUCCGGAAUCACUGGGCGUAAAGGGUGCGUAGGCGGCUUGGCAAGUCCUGUGUGAAAGGUCGCGGCUCAACCGCGGUGGGUCAUGGGAAACUGCCAAGCUCGAGUGCCGGAGAGGAUAGCGGAAUUCCCGGUGUAGCGGUGAAAUGCGUAGAGAUCGGGAGGAACACCAGUGGCGAAGGCGGCUAUCUGGAAGGUCACUGACGCUGAGGCACGAAAGCUGGGGGAGCAAACAGGAUUAGAUACCCUGGUAGUC